rnacentral:rRNA from 1 species
UACGAAGGGGGCUAGCGUUGCUCGGAAUCACGGGGCGUAAAGGGUGCGUAGGCGGGUCUUUAAGUCAGGGGUGAAAUCCUGGAGCUCAACUCCAGAACUGCCUUUGAUACUGAAGAUCUUGAGUUCGGGAGAGGUGAGUGGAACUGCGAGUGUAGAGGUGAAAUUCGUAGAUAUUCGCAAGAACACCAGUGGCGAAGGCGGCUCGCUGGCCCGAUACUGACGCUGAGGCACGAAAGCGUGGGGAGCAAACAGG